AGAGUUUGAUCAUGGCUCAGGAUGAACGCUGGCGGCGUGCCUUAGGCAUGCAAGUCGAACGGGUUUCGUAGCAAUACGAAAUCAGUGGCAGACGGGUGAGUAACGCGUAGGAACUACCCCUAGGUAAAGCAUAGCCGAUCGAAAGAUCGGGUAAUACUGUAUGGUCUCGCAAGAGUAAAGGUCUUAACUGGCCGCCAAGGGAGGAGCCUGCGUCCUAUCAGCUAGUUGGUGAGGUAAAAGCUUACCAAGGCAAUGACGGGUAGCUGGACUGAGAGGUCGAUCAGCCACAACUGCACUGAGACACGGGCAGUACACCUACGGGUGGCAGCAACCAGGAAUAUUGGGCAAUGGACGAAAGUCUGACCCAGCGACGCCGCGUGGAGGAAGAAGGCCUUCGGGUUGUAAACUCCUUUUGCCGAGCUCUUCACAGCUUGGAGAAUAAGCCCCUACUAACUACGUGCCAGAAGUCUCGGUGAUGCGUAGGGGGCAAGCGUUAUCCGGAUUUAUUGGGCGUAAAGUGUGCGUAGGCGUUUUAUUAAGUCUCUACUUAAAGACCAAGGCUUACCCUUGGGGUUGGUAGUGAUACUGGUAGAAUUGAGGAUUGACAGGGGUGCUGGAACAGGUAGUGUAGCAGUGAAAUGCGUUGAUAUUACCUGGAACACCAAAGGCGAAGGCAGGCACCUGGGUUAUUCCUGACGCUGAGGCACGAAAGCUAGGGGAGCGAAACAGAUUAGAUACCCUAGUAGUCC
rnacentral:rRNA from 1 species